AUUCUCGAGGAACGUGUCAUCUGACCUUAAACAGAUUUCUACAAAACGGCAGAUAACUACAUUUAUUUGAAUUAUGUCUCCCCUUUCAAAAUAGAGUUUGGACUAUAACACAAGAUUCCUUAAACAUACAAACUUUUAACUUGUAUCAUAGAUAGAUGGUAUAUAGUCCAGUUCAACCUUACCAAAAUUUUUGACCUUGACCUUAAAAUUUUAUUUCAAGGUCAAAUUAGAAAAAACUUCAUUGUUCACCUCCUAAAUAUUCUUUGACAGAAGGACUUCAAACUUCACACAAAGAACAAUUAUAAUACACUGAGGUGUACUAUUGAUAAAUAUUUGACCUUGACAUUGUUUUACUCAAGGUCAACUAGAGAAAAAAUAAUUAAGUUUUGUCUGGGUGGUAACUUAGAUACCUUUUGACAUUAAGACUUCAAACUUGGAACAUAGGUAGAUGGUAUUGAGAAGAAGUGCACACCAUCAAAAUAUUUGACCUUGACCUAUUAUCUUCUUCAAGGUCAAGCGUUUUAUAAAAAAUAUAGUCCGGACCAUAACACAAGACUCCUUAAUCAUACAAUCUUUUAACUUGUAUCAUACAUAGAUGGUAUAUAGUCCAGUUCAACCUUACCAAAAAUUUUGACCUUGACCUAAAAUUUUUAUUUCAAGGUCAAAUUAGAAAAAACUUGUUCACCUUCUAAAUAUUCUUUGACAGAAGGACUUCAAACUUAACACAAAGAACAAUUAUAAUACACUGAGAUGUACUGUAAAUUUUGUCUGGGUGGUAACUUUUGACAUUAAGGCUUCAAACUUGGAACAUAGGUAGAUGGUAUUGAGAAGGAGUGCACGCCUCCAUGAUUUUUGACCUUGACCAAUCUUGUGUCUCAAGUUAAUUCAUUUUCUAAACUGUAUCAUAUAUGGAUGAUAUCUAACAUAUAGCUGACUUCAUUCUUUUUCACUUAUUAAAUUUGCCCCAUAUUACAAUCCUUGGGGAGAAGGGGAGACAUGUGUUUUUUUUGUAUAAAAAAACAAUACCCACUAGUUAUCCUUUAACUUGAGAAUAAAGAUAGCAACUUUGACCUGACUUUGAUACGAAAACAAGAUGGUCUUUGAUUAAACUGAUAGAGUCAUUUGGUUAUUUGAUCAGUUUGACUGUAUCAAAAUUUAAAGAAUUUCUUGAUAUAAGAAGUCUGUCUGAUAACGAGAAGACAGAUGUUACAAAGAACAUACAAUUAGACAUUUUUGUUAUUCCAUAUAAAACAACUAUUGUUAUUAUUUAUGAAAUUCCUCAGAAAACUAACUGGAUAUCCACGGAUAAUACCUAAGAAGUUGUCGACCAUGUCACAGAUUUACAUCCAGCCAGAUAUUUUAUUUAGAACUCAAGCCACAAGGGCUAAGGAAAGGCUAAAAACCCUGCUAAUUUGUGUAACCGCUUGCUUUCAAUACUUUUCUUGGGCUAACCAUAAGAUGGCCUUAUGUUAAUCGACAAACUUAACAAUAUCAUAGUAUAAACGCAUAUUAAUCCACGGACUUAAAAUCACACCAUACAUACAUAUAAAAUGCUCGAACUCGGACACACUCCAUAUUUUAAGGCGGGCGACCAACAACACGAAUUUUGUGAUUAUUAUUUUGUAUUUUUUAAAAUAUUGUUUGCCUUUUGUGUUAUGAAUGUCAGCUCACGAAUUCCGUAAAAUCAGAAAUACUUUUCCCAACUAGUCCGCUCUUUGCCCCAAUCUAAAAUAUAUAUGAAAGAGACUCUUGUUCGGACCUACUUCAAGUCUAUACUUUAUUUGAGCAAUUAUGGGAAUAAGAUAUGGUAUAGACUUCUAUAUCGGUACGAUUUUACAAUUUUAUAGUAAAACUAAACAUUUUUUAUGAAUAUAUGAAAAACUUUGAACACAUCCAGUUUGGCAUUCAAAAUCAUCAAAAUUGUUCGCCCGCAGAAAAAGUUACGUUUCUAUGGCAAUUUGGUGGACGGCUAUCUAAAACACCGUUGUUGUGUUUAAAAUGAAAGUUUGUAAUUAUUACACGGCAUGAUAUGCGUCCUUUUAAUACAAGAAAAUAAAGCCAAUUUGAUAUGCUAAAGUUUUGAAAAUUUAAACAUGCUUUAUCUCAUAUUGAGUAUUGCAGCUAUCCUUUCCUUUCAGUUUGUUAUAUAUCAUUUGAACAUAAAUGUACAAGUAUUGC
rnacentral:sRNA from 1 species